CUGUGUGUCGUCUGAGCAGUCGCGAGAAGAUUUCCCUCCAGGACUUGUCCAAGGAGCGCCGGCCUGGUGGGGCUGGGGGUCCCCCCAUCCAGGACGAGGAUGAGGGGGAAGAAGGUCCCACCGAACCACCCCCUGCAGAACCCAGAACCCUCAAUGGCGUCUCCUCCCCCCCGCACCCCAGCCCUAAGAGUCCCGUGCUGCCUGAAGAGGCCCCCUUCUCCAGGCGCUUUGGCCUCCUGAAGACAGGGAGUUCUGGUGCCCUGGGUCCCCCGGAAAGGCGGACAGCGGGGGGAGCCCCAGGGGCUGGGCUGCAGCGCUCGGCUUCCUCCUCCUGGCUGGAAGGGACCUCCACUCAGGCCAAGGAGCUCCGCCUUGCCAGAAUUACCCCGACCCCCUCCCGGAAGUUGCCGGAGCCCUCUGUCCUGUGAGUCCCCAGGGCCUGGGCCCCUCAGGGGUGGGUGGCAGAUGUGGGUUCCAAGCCUGUCCGUGUGAUCCUGAGUGAGACCAUGUACCCCCUGGAGUCUGGUUCGUGCUGCCACUCCAGAGCCUGUGCUGUGUUCCUCCUGGGAGCUUUCUCCCUCCCUCAGGUCUGUGUUGAAACGUCACCUUCUCCCCUAUCUUCCCCCCACCCCGAGGUGCGCACUGACCACCC
rnacentral:lncRNA from 1 species